AUACGUAGGGGGCAAGCGUUAUCCGGAUUUACUGGGUGUAAAGGGAGCGUAGACGGCGAGUCAAGUCUGAUGUGAAAGGUGAGGGCUCAACCCUUAAACUGCAUUGGAAACUGGUUUGCUAGAGUAUCGGAGAGGUAAGUGGAAUUCCUAGUGUAGCGGUGAAAUGCGUAGAUAUUAGGAGGAACACCAGUGGCGAAGGCGGCGUACUGGACGAUUACUGACGUUGAGGCUCGAAAGCGUGGGGAGCAAACAGGAUUAGAUACCCUGGUAGUCCACGCGGUAAACGAUGAAUACUAGGUGUCGGGUGGCGAUAGCCAUUCGGUGCCGCAGCAAACGCAAUAAGUAUUCCACCUGGGGAGUACGUUCGCAAGAAUGAAACUCAAAUGAAUUGGCGGGG
rnacentral:rRNA from 1 species